rnacentral:rRNA from 1 species
GAUGAACGCUAGCGGCAGGCUUAACACAUGCAAGUCGAGCGCCCCGCAAGGGGAGCGGCAGACGGGUGAGUAACGCGUGGGAACAUACCCUUUCCUGCGGAAUAGCUCUGGGAAACUGGAAUUAAUACCGCAUACGCCCUACGGGGGAAAGAUUUAUCGGGGAAGGAUUGGCCCGCGUUGGAUUAGCUAGUUGGUGGGGUAAAGGCCUACCAAGGCGACGAUCCAUAGCUGGUCUGAGAGGAUGAUCAGCCACAUUGGGACUGAGACACGGCCCAAACUCCUACGGGAGGCAGCAGUGGGGAAUAUUGGACAAUGGGCGCAAGCCUGAUCCAGCCAUGCCGCGUGAGUGAUGAAGGCCUUAGGGUUGUAAAGCUCUUUCACCGGAGAAGAUAAUGACGGUAUCCGGAGAAGAAGCCCCGGCUAACUUCGUGCCAGCCGCCGCCGUAACAC